rnacentral:tRNA from 1 species
GGUCUCGUCGCCUAGUGGCUGGGCAGGACUCUGCAAAAGUCCCUACAGCGGUUCGAAUCCGCUCGAGACCU